ACAGGUCAAGAAUUAUCAAAAUCCUCAGAAACCAAACGUCAGACUCCGCUAAAACGCGGAGAAGAUAGAGUUCGGGCCAUAAAGCGAUUUAUGGAAGGAUACCCUAGCGAAGUUCCUUGUCAGGUAAGUUCUGACGCGCACGAAAAGCGUAACGACCGGAGGACUGUCUCGGGAAAUUGCUCGGUGAAAAUACAAUACCGGUGAAGAUGCCGGUUACCUGCAGCUAGACGAAAAGACCCCGGAAGCUUUACUACAACUUGGUAUUGGCUUUAGGUUUUUGAUGCGUAGCAUAGGCGGGAGGCUUUGAAGUUCUUCUCUCGGGGAGAAUGGAGCCGCCAGUGAAAUACCGCUCUUUAAAAAUUUAAAAUCUAACCUUCGCGGCAAAAACGCGAGGAGACAGUGCCUGGCGGGUAGUUUGAUUGGGGCGAUUCCCUCCCAAAGAGUAACGGAGGGGUCUACAAAGGUCGGCUAGGCGCGGAUGGAAACCGCUCCGAUAGCGCAAUGGCAAAAGCCGGCUUAACUGCAAGACGGACAUGUCGAGCAGAUGCGAAAGCAGAGCAUAGUGAACCGACCAUUCGCAUUAGAUGCGGUGGAGGAUUAACGGAUAAAAGCUACUCCGGGGAUAACAGGCUGGUAGUGCCCAAGAGUUCAUAUCGACGGCACUGUUCGGCACCUUAACAUUAUCGGGGUGCGUCGCGAGAAAUCGCGCGGCCGAAAUCAAACGCAUUUUAGGAGAAUGUGUUUUGAUUAAAAUAUUGGCUUAUAACGGUGAACUCCAUGCUAUGAUAUAGACAUGGACAAUACCGCGGGAAGUCUGACCAAACUUGAACGAUCUAUAAUAAUCGGCUCUAUUUUGGGAGACGGGUAUAUGAGAAUUAUGCCCGGCAGAUCCGACGCUUUUUUGGAAAUAAAUCAUUCCGUGAAAGCAAAAGAUUAUGUUGAUUACAAAUUCAAUAAACUGAAAAGAAUUUGCGAAUCUGUUCCAAAAGAAAGAGCGACAAAUGAGGAUCGUCAUGCGUAUAGAUUUUUUACAAAACAGCAUAAGGACUUAACAACUCUUUACGGCUUGUUUUACAAAAACAAACGCAAAAUAAUACCAAAAAACCUUGAGCUUGAUCCGAUGUCCAUCGCCAUUUGGUAUAUGGAUGACGGGAGCAAAUCAAGAGACAGCGAUGUUUAUUUGAACACGCAACAGUUUAGUUUACUAGAUCAGAAAAAAUUAUUAAACUGUUUGAGAAAAUUUGGCAUUAACGCGCGUUUAAACAAGGACAAAAAAUACUAUCGCAUAAGAAUACUGAAAGAAAGUAUUCAAAACUUUAUGGACAUUGUCGCGCCGUAUAUGGCGCCGUCAAUGAAAUACAAGUUGGUUAUGACCCUGUAGAGACUGAUGCGAAAGCAGAGAGUGUUCCAAGUUAGGGACGCUAAAACGCCAACUCCUCAUCACGAUUUGAUUGUCGCGAAAGGAUGAAGAUAUAGUCCAUACCAUUAGUAAUAAUGGAGAAAUAUACGAUGUCGGCUCAACCUAUCCUGGGGGUGGAGAAGCUCCCAAGGGUUUGGCUGUUCGCCAAUUAAAAGGUUACGUGAGCUGGGUUCAAACCGUCGUGAGACAGGUUGGUCUCCUAUCUGCUGCAGGCGUUAGAUUUUUGAGGAGCUCUGCUCUCUGUACGAGAGGAUCAGAGUGGACCGACCUCUGGUGUGCCGGCUGUCCUGCCAAGGGCAACGCCGGGUAGCUAUGUCGGGAUGGGAUAAUCGCUGAAAGCAUCUAAGCGAGAAACCCGCUCCAAGAUUAGAAAUCAUAGACAGGUCGCAGAUUACGACCUUGAUAGGCUUUAGGUGUAAGCGCGGCAACGCGUUGAGCCGAGAAGUACUAAUUGUCUGAUUCCUAUUAGG
rfam:Candidatus Terrybacteria bacterium RIFCSPLOWO2_02_42_20 rifcsplowo2_02_sub10_scaffold_992, whole genome shotgun sequence.